UGGGGAAUCUUGCACAAUGGGCGAAAGCCUGAUGCAGCAAUGCCGCGUGAGUGAUGAAGGCCUUCGGGUUGUAAAGCUCUGUCGGUUGGGACAAACGUCCACGUAGCUCAUACCUACGUGGAGUGAUGGUACCAGCAAAGGAAGAGGCGGCUAACUCUGUGCCAGCAGCCGCGGUAAUACAGAGGCCUCAAGCGUUGUUCGGAAUUACUGGGCGUAAAGGGAGUGUAGGUGGUGAUGCAAGUCAGAUGUGAAAGCCCUGGGCUCAACCCGGGAACUGCAUUUGAUACUGCGUUGCUGGAGUGCGGAAGAGGAGAGCGGAAUUCCCAGUGUAGGAGUGAAAUCCGUAGAUAUUGGGAGGAAUACCGAUGGCGAAGGCAGCUCUCUGGUCCGUAACUGACACUGAGACUCGAAAGCAUGGGUAGCAAACAGG
rnacentral:rRNA from 1 species